rnacentral:lncRNA from 1 species
AAACUGUAGAACACACCGACACAAAAAGACAUUUUCAGGCAACUCUGUAACUGCCAUACUCAGAAAAUAAUUACAUUUUCCAAAUGUUAGCACAGUCUCAAAGCACUGAUGCUAAGAUAAACGUUGUGCCAGUGCCGAAUUUGUAAAUGAAAUGACACAUAAGCAAAACACAGGCGAGCACAUCCAAACAGAUAAGAGUAACAACAGUUGAAAGCCAGCCAUGAAACAUACUAUCACGAUUUCAUACUACACUUUGCUGUUACUGUGCAGUAUUUCUCAUGGCACGCUGGAGAAACGUUCAUUUCUUAGCUUUUAUGUGAAGCAUCAGUUUCCACAAAGAAAAACAUAUCCUUUUUUUUUUUUCUUGGUCAUAGAGAAGACGUACUCUAAUAGAUGUAGGAAUACA